CGCGAACGUUGGCGGCGUGCCUAACACAUGCAAGUCGUGGGGCAGCAGGCUACUGUCUUUUGGCAGUAGUGCUGGCGACCGGCAAACGGGUGAGUAACACGUAGCUUACCUACCCAUAGGUUGGGGAUAACAUCCCGAAAGGGGUGCUAAUACCCAAUAAUGAGGAGACUCCAAAGCCCUUAUGGGCGCCUAUGGAUGGGGCUGCGUCCCAUCAGCUAGUUGGUGAGGUAAUGGCUCACCAAGGCUACGACGGGUAACCGGUCCGAGAGGAUGACCGGUCACAGUGGGACUGAGACACGGCCCGCACCCCUACGGGGGGCAGCAGUGGGGAAUAUUGGGCAAUGGCCGAAAGGCUGACCCAGCAACGCCGCGUGGUGGAUGAAGCCCUUCGGGGUGUAAACACCUUUUCUGGGGGAAGAUAAUGACGGUACCCCAGGAAUAAGGGACGGCUAACUACGUGCCAGCAGCCGCGGUAAUACGUAG
rnacentral:rRNA from 1 species